rnacentral:rRNA from 1 species
UGAGGAAUUUUGCGCAAUGGGAGCAAUCCUGACGCAGCAACGCCGCGUGGGUGAUGAAGGCCUUCGGGUCGUAAAGCCCUGUCAGGUGGGAAGAAUGUCCCGGGACUGAACAGGUUCCGGGCGUGACGGUACCACCAGAGGAAGCACCGGCUAACUCCGUGCCAGCAGCCGCGGUAAUACGGAGGGUGCAAGCGUUAUUCGGAAUUACUGGGCGUAAAGCGCGUGUAGGCGGUCCUGCAAGUCUGAUGUGAAAGCCCCGGGCUUAACCCGGGAAGUGCAUUGGAAACUGUGGGACUUGAGUAGUGGAGAGGAUGGGGGAAUUGCCGGUGUAGAGGUGAAAUUCGUAGAGAUCGGGAGGAAUAUCAGUGGCGAAGGCGCUCAUCUGGACGGUAACUGACGCUGAGGCGCGAAAGCGUGGGGAGCAAACA